rnacentral:rRNA from 1 species
UACAGAGGGUGCAAACGUUGUCCGGAAUUAUUGGGCGUAAAGAGCGUGUAGGCGGUCCGGUAAGUCAGCUGUGAAAGUCAAGGGCUCAACCCUUGAAAGCCGGUUGAUACUGUCGGGCUAGAGUCCGGAAGAGGCGAGUGGAAUUCCCGGUGUAGCGGUGAAAUGCGCAGAUAUCGGGAGGAACACCAAUGGCGAAGGCAGCUCGCUGGGACGGUACUGACGCUGAGACGCGAAAGCGUGGGGAGCAAACAGG